AAUAAACGCUGGCGGCGUGCCUAAUACAUGCAAGUCGAACGGGGAAAGCUUUCGGAUGAGUACUAGUGGCGCACGGGUGAGUAACGCGUGGAUAAUCUGCCUUAGAGUGGGGGAUAACUAGUCGAAAGAUUAGCUAAUACCGCAUAAGACCACAAGAACUGCGGUUCAAGGGGUCAAAGGUUUUUCGCUCUAAGAUGAGUCCGCGUAAGAUUAGCUAGUUGGUAGGGUAACGGCCUACCAAGGCGACGAUCUUUAACUGGUCUGAGAGGAUGAUCAGUAACACUGGAACUGAGACACAGUCCAGACUCCUACGGGAGGCAGCAGUAGGGAAUAUUGCACAAUGGAGGAAACUCUGAUGCAGCGACGCCGCGUGAGUGAUGAAGGUCUUCGGGUCGUAAAGCUCUGUCGCAGGGGAAUAACACAAUGAAGGUACCCUGUAAGAAAGGAUCGGCUAACUUCGUGCCAGCCGCCGCGGUAACAC
rnacentral:rRNA from 1 species